UCCGGGGUAGCUUAGUGGACAUGGCAUCUGCCCGGUAAGCGGAACAUUGUGGGUUCGAUUCCCAUCCCUGGAC
rnacentral:tRNA from 1 species